rnacentral:rRNA from 1 species
AUUGAACGCUGGCGGCAGGCCUAACACAUGCAAGUCGAACGAGUGGCGGACGGGUGAGUAAUGUCUGGGAAACUGCCUGAUGGAGGGGGAUAACUACUGGAAACGGUAACUAAUACCACAUACCAUCAGAUGUGCCCAGAUGGGAUUAGCUUGUUGGUGGGGUAACGGCUCACCAAGGCGACGAUCCCUAGCUGGUCGGAGAGGAUGACCAGCUACACUUGAACUGAGACACGGUCCGGACUCCUACGGGAGGCAGGAGAGGGGAAUAUUGCAAAGGGGGCGCAAGCCUGAUGUAGACAUGCCGCGUGUCUGAAGAAGGCCUGCGGGUUGUAAAGUACUUUCAGAGGGGAGGCGUUACUCGCAGAAGAAGCACCGGCUAACUCCGUGCCAGCAGCCGCGGUAAUAC